rnacentral:rRNA from 1 species
AGUGAACGCUGGCGGUAGGCCUAACACAUGCAAGUCGAACGGCAGCACAGUAAGAGCUUGCUCUUACGGGUGGCGAGUGGCGGACGGGUGAGGAAUACAUCGGAAUCUACUUUUUCGUGGGGGAUAACGUAGGGAAACUACGCUAAUACCGCAUACGACCUACGGGUGAAAGCAGGGGAUCUUCGGACCUUGCGCGAAUGAAUGCGCCGAUGUCGGAUUAGCUAGUUGGCGGGGUAAAGGCCCACCAAGGCGAGGAACCGUAGCUGGUCUGAGAGGAUGAUCAGCCACACUGGAACUGAGACACGGUCCAGACUCCUACGGGAGGCAGCAGGGGGGAAUAUUGGACAAUGGGCGCAAGCCUGAUCCAGCCAUACCGCGUGGGUGAAGAAGGCUUUCGGGUUGGAAAGCCCUUUUGUUGGGAAAGAAAAGCAGCAGGUUAAGACCCCGCUGUUCUGACGGUACCCAAAGAAUAAGCACCGGCUAACUUCGUG